GGGUAAUUUUCCGCAAUGGGCGAAAGCCUGACGGAGCAAUACCGCGUGAGGGACGAAGGCUUUUGGGUCGUAAACCUCUUUUCCCUGAGAAGAAGAUCUGACGGUAUCAGGGGAAUAAGCAUCGGCUAACUUCGUGCCAGCAGCCGCGGUAAUACGAGGGAUGCAAGCGUUAUCCGGAAUUAUUGGGCGUAAAGCGUCCGCAGGUGGCUCUGUAAGUCUGUCGUUAAAGAAUGGGGCUCAACCCCAUACAGGCGAUGGAAACUACAAGGCUAGAGUUUGGUAGGGGUCACGGGAAUUCCUAGUGUAGCGGUGAAAUGCGUAGAUAUUAGGAAGAACACCAGCGGCGAAAGCGCGUGACUGGGCCAGUACUGACACUCAUGGACGAAAGCUAGGGGAGCGAAAGGGAUUAGAUACCCCUGUAGUCCUAGCCGUAAACGAUGAUAACUAGGUGUUGCCCGUAUCGACCCGGGCAGUGCCGUAGCCAACGCGUUAAGUUAUCC
rnacentral:rRNA from 1 species